UUAUGUUUUCGUACGUUGUCUCUCUGUGCAUCUUCUUAUGUUCAGUCGGUAAGAUUUCAGCAAAACAAAACAUUUAAUUAAUUAAUGUUGUGGUUAAUUUCAAUCAAUUGUUUUAGUAGUGGCUGAAGAUCCGACAAUAUGUGAGGGUGACGGGGGAUCGUUCAAUUGCAAAGAUCAGGUGAUUCAAAUUAUUAGUGCAUUUUAUGGAAGGUUAGAUUCAAGUGUUUGCCAAAAAGACUACUCACAACAGCAGUUGGCUAAUAAUCAAUGUUCGGCACCAAAUGCCCUAAGUAUUGUUCAAAAUAUAUGCAACGGACAAAGCACCUGCAGUGUUUCUGCUUCAAACGAUGUUUUUGGAGAUCCUUGUGUCGGGACUUAUAAAUACAUGAGCAUUAUCUACAACUGUGUUCGUAAGUACUGCAAAAAGGCCAUAGGACGAUAAG